rnacentral:rRNA from 1 species
CUGAUGUGGGGGAUAACCAUUGGAAACGAUGGCUAAUACCGCAUGAUGCCUACGGGCCAAAGAGGGGGACCUUCGGGCCUCUCGCGUCAGGAUAUGCCUAGGUGGGAUUAGCUAGUUGGUGAGGUAAGGGCUCACCAAGGCGACGAUCCCUAGCUGGUCUGAGAGGAUGAUCAGCCACACUGGAACUGAGACACGGUCCAGACUCCUACGGGAGGCAGCAGUGGGGAAUAUUGCACAAUGGGCGCAAGCCUGAUGCAGCCAUGCCGCGUGUGUGAAGAAGGCCUUCGGGUUGUAAAGCACUUUCAGUCGUGAGGAAGGNAGUGUAGUUAAUAGCUGCAUUAUUUGACGUUAGCGACAGAAGAAGCACCGGCUAACUCCGUGCCAGCAGCCGCGGUAAUACGGAGGGUGCGAGCGUUAAUCGGAAUUACUGGGCGUAAAGCGCAUGCAGGUGGUUUGUUAAGUCAGAUGUGAAAGCCCGGGGCUCAACCUCGGAAUUGCAUUUGAAACUGGCAGACUAGAGUACUGUAGAGGGGGGGUAGAAUUUCAGGUGUAGCGGUGAAAUGCGUAGAGAUCUGAAGGAAUACCGGUGGCGAAGGCGGCCCCCUGGACAGAUACUGACACUCAGAUGCGAAAGCGUGGGGAGCAAACAGGAUUAGAUACCCUGGUAGUCCACGCCGUAAACGAUGUCUACUUGGAGGUUGUGGCCUUGAGCCGUGGCUUUCGGAGCUAACGCGUUAAGUAGACCGCCUGGGGAGUACGGUCGCAAGAUUAAAACUCAAAUGAAUUGACGGGGGCCCGCACAAGCGGUGGAGCAUGUGGUUUAAUUCGAUGCAACGCGAAGAACCUUACCUACUCUUGACAUCCAGAGAACUUUCCAGAGAUGGAUUGGUGCCUUCGGGAACUCUGAGACAGGUGCUGCAUGGCUGUCGUCAGCUCGUGUUGUGAAAUGUUGGGUUAAGUCCCGCAACGAGCGCAACCCUUAUCCUUGUUUGCCAGCGAGUAAUGUCGGGAACUCCAGGGAGACUGCCGGUGAUAAACCGGAGGAAGGUGGGGACGACGUCAAGUCAUCAUGGCCCUUACGAGUAGGGCUACACACGUGCUACAAUGGCGCAUACAGAGGGCGGCCAACUUGCGAAAGUGAGCGAAUCCCAAAAAGUGCGUCGUAGUCCGGAUUGGAGUCUGCAACUCGACUCCAUGAAGUCGGAAUCGCUAGUAAUCGUGGAUCAGAAUGCCACGGUGAAUACGUUCCCGGGCCUUGUACACACCGCCCGUCACACCAUGGGAGUGGGCUGCAAAAGAAGUAGGUAGUUUAACC